rnacentral:lncRNA from 1 species
AAUGAUCAAGUUAUGUUAAAUUAACAAUACAUGCAAUAUCAUUAAAGUAAAAUACAUAACAUAAACUUCAUUAUAACAUAAAUCAAGCCAAGUGAUGUUAACAUUAGAUACAACAUUCAAAAUUAAUUUCACUAGAACAUACAAUAUAACAUAAACUAUAACCAUUCAAAAUCUCUAUGUAUGCAAAGAGAUUCACCAUUGGUGCAUGGAGGAAUGCACACACACAUUUCCCGCUCACCAUCUUUUUUAUUA